rnacentral:lncRNA from 1 species
GUAAAAAUUAAUUUCUGCAAGUCUACAAUUAUUUCUCUUUCUCUCUGUGUAAGUGGAGGAGGAGAGGGAAAUUCAAUAUGUAGACACCAAUGAGUGUUCAUUCCUCCUCCCAAGGAGAAAUUCUGGCAAAGUUCUUGAAUGUGAGCCGACCCACAGAUACUGACGGCCAGCACAAUCCAAAAUCUAACUCUAUGAGGAGAGAGGGGAACCAGGAAGCCUAGAACCAGAAGCUGAAGACUAAAGCUCCCAGAGCCUACUGAACCACCCCAUCCCAAAUCUCCUUGUCAAGAUGGCAACUUUAUUCAGAAGGGGGCUGCCAAGGUUAAACAGAGCUAUUGAAGAAGAAAUCAUCCCUCACGCCUCCACCACAGGCCCAAAGAAGAACUAUAAGAGGAUCCUUUGGAAAAUGGAUUGAAUUUUGCUCUUGUGGCUACAAGGAAUAGAACCAGCAUCAAGGUUUAAGUUCCUAUGAAAGCAGAACCUGAAAGGAAGACUUGAGUUAAUUUAAGAGGUGAUCACGGUGAACAGAAGUGAUGGAAUCAGAAGAAUAAAACAGAAAAUCCAAUAAAGUUGGAUUAUGAGCUGGCUACCACUGAGAUUCACUGGGGUUCAGUCCUGCUGAGGAUUCUUUGAGUAAAUUAAUAGAGAAUGCCUUAUAUUGUCUCACCAAAGGACAAUUGAGUUGAUACACUUAUCUACUUCUUCUCAUCCCUCAUUAGUUGAGGGCUGCUGCCAGCUGUGUCAACACCUUCAAAAGUCUGAACUAUUUGUGCAUAAGCUAAAUGGGCUUUUGCAGUGUUGGGAAAAGCCCAGAGUCAGAAGAACAGAAAGACACUGUGGUCUGCAGUUGAGAAGGGAUGCCGGCAUUGCCCAUGAAAUGUGCAUGAAAUGUUGGCAUUGAACUAUGGCUGCACAAAAUCAGGUGGGUCAAGCAAAUUAACACAAUGCAUUACCAGCAUCAUCUUCAAAUUUAUAGUGAAACUUCUCAUUUGAUCUUUCAUAUCUCUUGGCUUCAUUUCUAUAUUUUUCAUUGCUUUUUAGCUCUGAGCCUCAUAUGUGGCAGUUUCCUCAGAUUUCUAUUCUCAUUUGUUGAUUUUCUAUUUAGCUGUGUGUAAAUAGCUCAUCUUUCUCAUAAUAGCAUUUUCUUAUAGUUUCAUCUUUCACAUGUUUAUUUGCUUGCUUUCACAUUGUACCAUUAUCUCAGUAUCUUUGGCAGUAAUCCUGCUAUUCAUUGUGCCUACUGGCUAUCAUGGCAAGAUAUUUUUCUAUGUGUUUUGUGAUGUAUUUUCAGUGUGGAUUUAUUGAACUUUAAUUUACUGAACUUUAAUUUAUUGAACUUUAAUUUAUUAAUUUAUUGAACUCUAAUUUACUGAACUUAUUUUCAGUGAGGAUUUACCACCGCACUCCUUGCCAUUCUAUUGUAGAAAUUUAUUGAACUAUUAAUUUAUUGAACUUUAAUUUACUGAACUUAUUUUCAGUGAGGAUUUACAGAUUCACUUAUUCACUUAUUUCAGUGAGGAUUUACCACCCCAUUCCCUGCCAUUCUAUUGUAGAAAUUCUACACACUGGGAAGAGAAUCAUGUACUUUACUAUUUGAUUCUUCCAGAUGCUCCAUGAAGGGUAUCAUAAACUUGGGAUCAUUUUUGUCUAUUGUGAUAAAAUACACAUAGCAUAAAUUGACCAUUUUAAACACUUUUAAGUGUACAGUUCAGUGGCAUCAAGUAUAUUUGCAUUGUUGGACAACCGUCACCACCAUCCAUUUCCACAACUUUUCCAUCAUCCCAAAGUGAAACUCUGUGCCCAUGAAACACUAACUCCCCAUUCCACUCUUUCCCAGCCCUGAUAACCACAAUUCUACCUUCUGUCUCUAUUAAUUUAACUAUUUUAGGUACCUCAUGUAAGUAGAAUUAUACAGUAUUUGUCCUUCUGCAUCUGGCUUCUUUCACUUGGCAUAAUGUCCUCAAGGUUCAUCCAUGUUAUGGUAUGUAUCAGAAUUUCCUUUCUUUUUUAAGGCAGAAUAAUAUUCCAUUGUACGUAUAUUCCACGUUUAGUCUGUCCAUUCAUCCAUGGAUGGAUAUUUGAGUUGUUUGGACCAAUGUUUAAGUGAAUUUCUCAGCUUAGGUUUCAGUUUAUUACAUGAGAGAUAUUUUUUCCCCACCGAGAGCCUAAGCAACUGAAGUCUCCCUCACCAGCAGGUAGGAUUUGUCUGGUCCCCCAUUCACUGAGCAGGCAGCUUUUCAAGGGUCCUGACUUUUGCACAAAUCUCAGAUCCAGCUCCCCUUUCUAAGGCCUCAUCACCUGUCCCCAUGAGCGUGCAUCAGAAUGUGCCCCACCCAGGCUCCAGCUCCCCCACAUCAGCUCUCACACUUGCCACUCCACCUUUCUUUUUGUUUUUUGUGUUUUUGCUUGUUUGUUUGUUUUUUGAGACGGAGUCUCACUCUGUCGCCCAGGCUGGAGUGCAGUGGCAUGAUCUCCGCUCACUGCAAGCUCCACCUCCUGGGUUCACGCCAUUUUCCUGCCUCAGCCUCUCCCAGUAGCUAGGAUUGCAGGUGCAUGCCACCACGCCCGGCUAAUUUUUUGUAUUUUUAGUAGAGACAGGGUUUCACCGUUGUCUCAAUCUCCUGACCUCGUGAUCUGCCUGCCUCAGCCUCCCAAAGUGCUGUGAUUACAAGCGUGAGCCACCACGCCCCACCGCCACUGUACCUUUCCAUGUCCUCUUCAUCUCUGGCAUCGGGGACUCCCCUUUCUUGAUUUGAAGAAAUGGUUUUCAAUCUUGGCUUAUAUUUACAUUCAACUGGGGACAUUUUUUAAAAUCCCAAGACACAACCCAGACCAAUUACAUUCAAACCUCUGGCAUAAAAAGUGAGGUUUUAAAAAUAUAUUAUACAAAUAAUCGUACAAUAGGUACCUAGAUAUGUAAAAGCUCAUAAAGGUAUAACUUGAGUUAUCAAAAUAUCGUGAGCCCUGCUCUAGUACUGCUGCCUGUGUUAGGUGCUUCUGGACUCUGGUUCUAACAGUGGGAGGUUGUGUUUGUGAUCAUUUCUAGGCACAACUUUAAUCUGGAAAUAAAAUAGUCAUUUUGGCUUUCUCUUUCAGCCUCCUACGUGAGAGUUUCCCAAUUCUAAGAACAUUCUGAUGUUCUAUGCCACAUCUUGCAAUUGGGUAUGAACAAUUUUUCAAUAAUAGCAAAUAAAUGAGUCUUCUCAGUGUAUCUUCAUCUUGUCACCACUGCUGAAGAGCGUGAUUCUCCUCUAGCCUAGACAUGAGCUUCGACUGCUGUUCAGUUACUCCAGUAAACUCCAGGAUACUUAUUAAUGAUGGUAACAGCAGCCAACAAGUAUUAAGAACUUUUGCUAUUAAACUUCCCUGCUACCAUUGGGACCAAGAAUCUGGACAACAAAUUUUCUAUUUUUAUUUUUU